AAAUUUGUAUAUUUAUUAUUGUUAUUAAUGUUUCUUUUAUUUUGCAGGUAUGGAUGGCGACUGGAAGUCGGGGGUCCCUGGGCUAUUGGUAUAUGGUUUUAUUUAUUUAUAAUUUAUUAAUAAUUAAUUUAAUAUUAAUUAAUUGGUAGUGGCAGCCAAGCCGAAGGGCUUUUAAAAAAAUAUUCUGUCCUGUGUUCCGAUGGACUUAGAAAAAAAAGAUAGUAAUCGUGAGAUGAAGUCCAGCAAGAGGGUGACAACCUCCCCCAACCUGGCAUCACAACAAAAGGUGACAUCACAGAUAACACAACACACAGAAAAAGAAAAAUAGAAUUUCUACCCAAAGAAGAGGAUGGAAACACAUCGGACAAUGAGGCAUUUUUUGAUUGAAAGAGAGGUGGAUGCGGCCCAAGAAGGAAGGAGAUGAUUACUUCACAUGCUAAUUUUUUGAUAUCUGAUACAGUCUCUCGACCGAAUGAAAGGCUGGCAGCUGUAACUGAAAGUCCCGCAAAAGGAUCAGUCACCAAUAAAUGGCUACAGGAAAAAGUUUACUUACUUCAGCAGUAAAUAAUUUUCAUGUUAAAGAAUAAAAUAAAUAUUUUCCAUAUUAAAG